GCGGAAGUGGUGGAAUUGGUAGACACGCUAUCUUGAGGGGGUAGUGCCCAUUCGGGCGUGGGGGUUCGAGUCCCCCCUUCCGCA
rnacentral:tRNA from 1 species